CAUUAGCGUAUAUUAAAGUUGUUGCAGUUAAAAAGCUCGUAGUUGGAUUUCUGGUGGGAGCGAUCGGUCUGGCGCUUAGCGCGAGUACUUGCAUCGUCUCCGGCCAUCCUUGGGGAAAGUCUGUCUGGCAUUAAGUUGUCGGGCAGAGGAUCCUCAUCGUUUACUGUGAAAAAAUUAGAGUGUUCAAAGCAGGCUUAUGCCGUUGAAUAUAUUAGCAUGGAAUAAUAAGAUAGGACUUUGGUACUAUUUUGUUGGUUUGCGCACCAAAGUAAUGAUUAAUAGGGACAGUUGGGGGUAUUCGUAUUCCGUUGUCAGAGGUGAAAUUCUUGGAUUUACGGAAGACGAACUACUGCGAAAGCAUUUACCAAGGAUGUUUUCAUUAA
rnacentral:rRNA from 1 species